rnacentral:lncRNA from 1 species
ACCUGAUGACUCGAAUGCCGAAGACUUGCAUGUUCCGGGAUCAAAGCAGGAAGCGGAAAUGAAGUCACUUGUUCAUUGCAUUCUUUUCCCUUGGGGGCUCUGCGCAACAAUGAGAAUAUCAAGUUCAUCUGUUCCAGCCUCUGUGAGCUCUGGUGAGGUUCGCACGAAUGGGAGGGAGGAAAAGGGAAGGAAUCAAAGGACGGGUUGGGUGAGGGCCGCUGAGGGGCGUGCUUAGAGAGGCCUGGCCUGCACUGUUCGCAUCCACCUAGGCUGCAUGAUAGCCGGCUGGUGCCAUAGGUCCCCGGAUACCCAGGGUCGGAAAAUGUGGGAAAGGCACUUCCAUGGGGUCUUUCCGCCCAUCCUGCACCCCUCUUCAGAAGCCUCCAAAACAACCUUUGUGAUUUUUCUCUAGAAGGAAAAGAAUUUCUGCUGUUGGAGUGACCCUGACUUGGCCCCCGUGUGCUUGCUUCAUCAGGGAUCUUGCGAUUCAGGCAUAUUCUGGAACCAACUAGCCUGGGGUCAGUUAUACUAAAGAUCUCUGCAGACCAAAGCAUUAUGAUUCCUGCUUCAUUCCCACUGUCCUUGACAGUUUAUGUGCCAUCUUGUCUCUGGAAAUUAAGUGCUACCUACUUGAUUUCUGCUGCUCUGGGUUCUCUUCGUGCCCUGUGAAAUCAGGACUCCAGAUGACCCAUGUCAAGAAUGACGAAGACUGUCAUAUCCACUUAGAUACUAAGUUGCAAUGAAGGGACCUAGGCUUCACAUAACCCUCAGCCAUAUUUUAGCAUUACUCUCCAAGGAUAGCAGCCAUUGAUUUGACCCUUGGUAAGUCCUUGUUGAUUCUCAUUUUUAGAGUAUGCUAAAUGUCACCCCUGCACAAUAUAGAGUCCAGUGGUCUCAGCCUGAGCAGUCAUGCUGCUGGUUCAUUAAGAAGCAGCUGAAGUAUGCCAGAGAAUGCUGUGAUUUAAGUCAGCUUCC